rnacentral:rRNA from 1 species
UACGUAGGGGGGCUAGCGUUGUCCGGAAUCAUUGGGCGUAAAGCGCGCGUAGGCGGCCCGGUAAGUCCGCUGUAAAAGUCAAAGGCUCAACCUUUGAAUGUCAGUGGAUACUGCCGGGCUAGAGUCCGGAAGAGGCGAGUGGAACUCCUGGUGUAGCGGUGGAAUGCGCAGAUAUCAGGAAGAACACCGACGGCGAAGGCAGCUCGCUGGGACGGUACUGACGCUGAGGCGCGAAAGCGUGGGGAGCGAACAGG